rnacentral:rRNA from 1 species
CAGCAGUACUACUAGCAACAGCUUAAAACUCAAAGGACUUGGCGGUGCUUUAUAUCCUUCUAGAGGAGCCUGUUCUAUAAUCGAUAAACCCCGAUAAACCUCACCAAUUCUUGCUAAUACAGUCUAUAUACCGCCAUCUUCAGCAAACAAAAAAUUAGAUU